rnacentral:rRNA from 1 species
CGUACACUCCUACGGGAGGCAGCAGUGGGGAAUAUUGCACAAUGGGCGCAAGCCUGAUGCAGCCAUGCCGCGUGUAUGAAGAAGGCCUUCGGGUUGUAAAGUACUUUCAGCGGGGAGGAAGGCGAUAAGGUUAAUAACCUUGUCGAUUGACGUUACCCGCAGAAGAAGCACCGGCUAACUCCGUGCCAGCAGCCGCGGUAAUACGGAGGGUGCAAGCGUUAAUCGGAAUUACUGGGCGUAAAGCGCACGCAGGCGGUCUGUCAAGUCGGAUGUGAAAUCCCCGGGCUCAACCUGGGAACUGCAUUCGAAACUGGCAGGCUAGAGUCUUGUAGAGGGGGGUAGAAUUCCAGGUGUAGCGGUGAAAUGCGUAGAGAUCUGGAGGAAUACCGGUGGCGAAGGCGGCCCCCUGGACAAAGACUGACGCUCAGGUGCGAAAGCGUGGGGAGCAAACAGGAUUAGAAACCCUGGUAGUCCC